rnacentral:lncRNA from 1 species
GUACUGCUUCGCUUGGGGUCCGUGUUUGCUUCUGAGUGAGGGAAAGGUGAAAGAGUCUUGUCAGAAGCCUCUCUGCACAUUGGAGGUGAGAUUUCCCAAGGCGACAAGCUCAGUCACCCUCCGCUUUCCCCUCCACAUCCCAUCUUCAGUGCCUCCUAACCCAGAUCUUUGGGGGGAGGGGUUGGCCAGAUGUGGAAUUCCCUCACCCAUAGUCAUCCUUCUCAGUGUCCCCAUUUUGCCAACCACUGGGUCGUCUCCACACUCCCCUCCUCCCCUAUUACCAGAUUUGCCAAUCCCCAGGUCCUGUGGAAAGAGCUGAGAGGAAGGUUGGGCUACCAGGGUCCAGCUGGGGUUGAGGUCUAGGGGUUCUUGCCUUUUGUUGGAAGGUGGAGAGGGAAUGUGAGAUCCUUCUGCUUCAGAUUGGUCUUCUCUGCUGGCUUUCCUUCUAAGUAUGGAGGAAGAGCUUAAGAGCAAGAAGUCUUCCUGCUCCUCCAAGACUGAAGAAGCUUUUCACAGUUUCCUGGUUUCCAAGGAAAGUGCAAGAUCUUGAUAACUGCUUCUAAUUGGUAACCAAAUACGGUCCCCUCUCACCGUGUAAGAGAAAUGCCCUUGUUUGUCUGAAUUUCAUUCCAGAACUUACUAUUUACACUCUCCAAACUUCCAAAAGAGGAUACCAGGCAGCCUUUUCCUCUGCACUGAAAAU